UAGUCGUUAGCUCAGUCGGUAGAACAGUUGACUCUUAAUCAAUGGGUUGCAGGUUCGAGCCGAGCAGAAUUUU
rnacentral:tRNA from 1 species